rnacentral:rRNA from 1 species
UACGGAGGGUGCAAGCGUUGUUCGGAAUUAUUGGGCGUAAAGGGCGCGUAGGUGGUUGUGAUAGUCAGAUGUGAAAUCCUUCGGCUCAACCGAGGAACUGCAUCUGAAACUUCAUAGCUCGAGUACAGGAGAGGGAGACGGAAUUCCCGGUGUAGAGGUGAAAUUCGUAGAUAUCGGGAGGAACACCAGUGGCGAAGGCGGUUUCCUGGCCUGAUACUGACGCUGAGGCGCGAAAGCGUGGGGAGCAAACAGG